CCUCAUUCCUGGAUGGGAUUCAAGUACUGCACGGAAGAGAAAACAGCAUGAAGCCUGCUCAGGAAAACCUAUAAUGUAGAAGGAGGAUUUUUAUUCCGUUGUGCUGGGAAUCCUAUCCUGCUUCCACAACCUCCCAAAUAAUCACUGUCCUCAAUUGCCAGAGGGACCAAGGAGUUUUGUUGGAUUGAAACACAAUACAAAUCACUGCCAAGAUGCAGAAGCAGAAAGGCAAAUUUUGCCCUAUGCUGGGUCCUGAGAGAAAUGGAAUUCCUGCCUAGGCCUGGCCCUCUGAAGAGGCAAGGUGCUGCCUCAAGCAGCAGAAGCCCAAGAAGCAGCACCCACGUUGCCUCUGCUGCACCUUCCCGCUCCCUGCUGCAUCUGCUGCCAGUGGAAAAGUGGCACUGGUUUCUGAUGAGAUCUUGCCAGAAGCUGGCACCACUGCUGGUGCUUUGUGGGCGCUGCUGCGUCAUGCAGGUAAGAGAGCUGUGGCGCCAGCAGCGGGGGAGCAGGAGCAGCAAAAUGGAAUGUGCUGUUCCUGUUCCUGUUCCUGCCCUGAGUUAUUCUCACAGUAUUGGAAGGCCAUGAUGAAUUUGUGAAUAUUCCCUUUAUCUAAUCCUUUUCAAACCUUCCCACCGCACUGUCUGGCCUGCUGCUGUAAGAACACAGAAACAACCCUCUUCAGAAUAGCUGGCUGGUGGUAGCAAAGGCUGUGUGAAAUCAGAAAAGGGCCUCAUGUUUUCCCCUGCUUUUACAUGCUCUCUGUUCCCUGUGUUUGUUCCACAUGCCAGCACAAUUCCUCAGGCCCAGGAAGAGGUAUGCUGUCUCUAGCAGGAUUUUAGCUGCUUCGUUCCCUUGGGAGAAGCAUGAUGCUUUCUCACUGUCCUGUCAACACAACAGGGGCACAAGAGAAAGUGUUUGCACAAGCCUCUUGUUAAGCAAUGUAUAAGCCUCUUUCGUUGCAAAUUGCCUCACAGACCCAACAGAAACAAAACAAUCCUUUGGUUAGCUCCUCUGAGUGGACGUUGAAGGAAGGGAAGGAUUGAAAUACAGCAGAUUUUUGAGUUGGUGGUGCCCAGGCUAUCGCUUUACUAUAAUAUUAGAAGACCAAACCAAAUAUUAACUAGCAUUAACCAGUCCUCCACAGAAUGGACGUUGAAGGUGGGGGGAACGUUUUUGUGGCUGUGCAUGAUAUUGGCCUGGCAAUAUCUUGGUACACAGGUAGUAGCGCUUUGGGUUUCAAUAUAGGCAAGUGAACUGGCAGAACUUAACAGCUCUGGGCUACAUAAAUACCUAGACCUUUAAAAAAAACAAAAAACAAGGAUCCUCUGGGACAAAGCAGUAAUGAAGAAUAUCAAACACAAAGGGCCCCAAGAGGUGUCAGGCCCAGUCCUACCAAUAGGAAGAGUGAGGUGGCUGCCUCAGGCAGCUACGGUUGUCAUGAAAGGGCAGCAAAAUGUGAGGUGUUUGAAUGAUUAUUGUAUUUUUACUCCCAGGGAGAAGUGCUUGUGAGCUUUUCUACUUCAGGUGCCAAAAUAACUUGGCCAGCCUUGUAUACUAUGCUCUUUGCCUUAGGGAGGGAAGCCCCAUUUGUUAAUCUACCUCAGGCAGCAAAGUUUCUUGAGUCUUUUCAGAGAGGAACCAGUUCCACAUUGAGGUCCCUGGGAUGGCUGGGGAGGGGGGCAUUUGAAAAGUGCUGAAGAUCAGUAUUAUUGCUAAUCCAAUAAAAUAGGGGUCAGCAACGUGGCACAUGCAGGUGUACGUGUGUCCAACGGUACCUGCUAUGGUGCCCGUGUAAGUCUUAGUAAACAUUCCAUGAAAAAUCCACAGUGUAUGAGAAACUGUUUUCCUACUCAGCUCCUGUUUGCACUGGCUCAGUUUCUUCUACAUUAAACAUGCCCUCUUCAACAUGCCCACAUUUGACUGGAUGCCAGGACUGAAUACCCACCCAUGCAUCAGUUCUGAACCAAGAGGUGAAAGGAGCUUCUCUCUGUGAGUGAACAUGGCUGGUGUAGGUGCCUUCCCCCACUGAUGUCUGCACUUAGGUUGCCAUAUUUCAAGAAGUGAAAAUCUGGGCACAAAAGUUGAGCUUUUCUUUGCAAAAUCUUGAGGGGGGGAUUUAGUUUGUAAGCUAUUUUUUUAGGAGAUUCACCAAAAUCUACACUUCCAACAUGGGCUGCCAUACAUCUGGAUUCACCCACACAUUUUAAAAGCAAUUCUGCCCUGUUUCUGAUGGCCAAAUCCCAGCUGUGUCUGAUGUAUGGCGGCCCUACAUUCACUAGUUAGUGUUCCUGUUCCUGCCUCUUUUUCUGUUCUUUGAUAAGUGGCAGCCAUUUUGUGUUAUGUCAUGGCAGCCAUUUUGUGACUGCCACCCAACAUUUCAAAAGUACCCACUGGCCCCAAACAGUUGGCAAACCCUGUACUAGAAGGAAGCAUUAGGUCUUCUCUGCUAGCAAACAAUGAAAUUGUGCAAUAGAGAGCUUGUUUUAUCUGCAUGUAGUGAAAAGAGGGUUAGGUUAAUAUUAUUUUAUUCAUGUUGUGAGAAGCAGAACAGGCAAAACUGAGAGCUCCCAAUCUAUAACCCACCUCUUUCCCCUGAUUCUCCUUCACAUUACUGAACAAAAACACACAAAAUAUUUUAUUGGCACGACAAGAUUAUCCCUGAACAGGCGCCAAAAUAUAAAGGGUAUAAAGGAAUGAGCUGCUCUGGUUUCUUUCAAAUCUUGACCUACUGCUGUUGGAAUACAACAAUAUGAGGUUUCAAGUUACAUCAAACCCUUCAUUUUUCAGGUGUCACAGUAAAUAAUUACACUGUGCUGCAGCUAUGUAACCAUACACGUUUAAUCACCCAUGCAUCCACACACUUAGCAAAAAUUCACUGCAGUCUAUAUACAAAACCACAGUGCUUGAUUACUAGGGAAGAUACAAAAUAUAUGCAAAUAUUUCCACACAUAAGUACAUCCUUAGAGCAAACAGUUUGGAAAAAGUUAAACAUCGGGUGCUUGCCAUUGUUUUAAUGAUUCAUGAAGCUAAGAAUCUCUUGUUAAUCCACUGUUGUUUAAAUCUGGUCCUGAAUUUCAGUUCUUAGGACUUGUGUUGAAUAUAACUGCAAACGUUUGCAUAUACUGAUACCUUUAGCUGAAACACCCAAAUAUAUUGCAGUAUCUUAUCCUCUCUCACACUUUCUAAUCUGUACCCCGUAAGGAAAUUGGCAGGUUGUUCCUAAUCUUGUAGAAACCGGGGCAGGGAGUCAACUCUUAACUGCUGAAGGGAUCCAUGGGUGAGGAGUGCAGAUGUCUCCCCCCCACUUGCCACUUUCCUCCUGUCAGCACUGGAUGUCAACUGAGGAUAAAAGUGCUCUGUGUGUAUGUGUGUGCACGCGCUAAGGUUGCCAUAUUCCUAAAAAGGGGGUGGGGAUUCCCAAAGUUGUUGAACUUUUUUUGCAAAAUCUCAGAAAAACUCAAUUUCUGCCCGGAUGCUGUUUACGAGGGCUGAAUACCAGCUAUGUCUGGGAAAUUCCAGAUAUAUGGCAACCCUAGUUUGUGCAAAUUCUGAAUCUAUAAACUGUGGGCUGAUUGCUACUAACAAUGGACUCCUCUUACUAUAAACACGCAAAUUUGUUAUAAUCAGUUUAUCUGAUUACUAUAGAACUGGGAAUAUAGGGACAAAAUUUGUGUGUGUAUGCUCAAGUUUCCCAAACUUCUGAGUUUAUUUAAAGUUGUAAUUGACCCCAACCCAAAUUCUUAGGAAUGUAAAUGAAAUAAAGUCAAUAAACAGGAAUAUAUAAUCUGCAUUUAUUAAUUAGCAACUACCAUUCCUAGGAACCAUAACAUGUAAAAAGCAAGGAAGAAAACCAAGAGAAAAUAAUAAUGAUACCAUACACAUCUGUACAUGUUCAUGCCUUUUAUUUCUAAGGUUCCUAGUUCCUAGUUGUUGGUGUGUGUUUUUGCACUAUACCUUGUAAAUUUAUUUUCCACCCAAGGCCUGCUUUGAUUCCCAGGUCUUUAUUCACUCCCUGCACAGUCCCAUCAAUCCCAGUGGGUCAGUAUUGACUACUUUGGAAACCAGCUGGUUUCUGCAUGCAUGGUCACCCCUGGAGGAUUGCAGCAUCAAGUGGUGACUUGCCUAAUACCACAGCUAGAACUUUAUUUUCACCUUAUAUCACACUUUGCCUUUCAGCAGAAUAACUUCAUACAAGCAGCUGUGUUAUCUAAUCUUGAGUAAUUCAGUUAAAUAUGUGUAAGCAGUGCUUAUGGAUGUGCUAGUACUCCAUACCAGUGAGUGCUCUCUCUCUCUCUCUCUCUUUCUCUCUCUCUCACACACACACACACACGUGUGUGUAUGAGCCCUGUGUAAGAGAUGUCUUAAGAGGGAGUGGGUAAUACGGUUUCCCCCACUUUGGUUUGUUGUGCCUGCUCUAUUGCACUUGCUUUCGGUAUCAGAGAAGUCACCAUGUUUGAUGAACAGUGAAAAGAGACAAUAAUAUAUGCCUCUGGACGUCGUAAGAAAGGCAUGGUAAUAGAGGUCACCUGUGGUUAGCAGGAAUUUCUUCAAGGGUACCUAGCCCAAAACAUUUUGCUUCCAGUAGUAAAGGAGGGCACCCAUCAAUCCAUGGAUGGAAUUGAACUGGAUUAGCAUUUGAAUCUUAAUUCAACACUGGUAAUGGAACAGCAUUGUCCACAGCAUCUGAUGGGCUAGCUUAGGGGGUGGCACACACCGAUCUACCUCCCCACAUCUCACUGCUGCUGCCUGCCUCUCAGCAUCUGCUGCCUGACCUCACUCUGCCUAACAAUAGGGCCAGUCUUGCAACCUAGUGGGGAAGCUCUGUAAACUGGGUCUGUGUUUUGUUCUUACCUCUUGGAAUACCUGUAUGCCAAGAAUCUGUGGGGGUUGGUGGUGGUUGUAAAUAAUCUCUUACAUGGCAAAUCUUUAGCACAAGCAGUUUUGAGAGAAAUGGUUAAACAUCAGGAAUGUAAAGAUUUAAUGAUUCAUGAAGCAAAGUAUCACUGCCUGCCCGCCCCAAUGCAUUUGCUUUCCACUUUGAUUCUGUAGUGAUAGAGGUCUGGCCUGGAACCCAAUACCAUAUUAUGUUGUUUGGUUUGUGUCUGAGGCAGUUUAUUAUUAAUAAUAUAAACAAACCAAUUCUGCCUGCAACCUUAGUUGCUAAGCGGAGGAGUGUUUUGUCUGGAGAUGAAUAAAAGGCCAGGGAAAAAACAAGAGGGUGAGGGCCAAGAGGAGAGCGGGCCUUAAGGAGUGCUUAGCUGGUGUACUUAGCUGGAGGCCAAGGUCUCAGAAAAAGGAACUAUUCUCAAACUGGUGUUCCUGACCAGGCAAAUGGCGCUCUCUUUGGGUCAUGAAGAAAUGGUACUCAGUAGCACUAGACUGGAGGCAGCAACUCCUCACUGCUCCCCCCUUCCUCAAGAGAUAGGCCAGGAGUCGGGAAUUUGCCAUCCCCCCACCCCGAUGUUGCCAGAUUAUAAGACCCAUCACCUCCGACCAUUGGCCAUGCUGACAGGGGCUGAUGGAAGUUGGAAUCCAAUGGCAUCAAGAAGGCCACAGCUUCCCCACUCCUGCAGUGGGAAGCUCCAUAGGCACUCCUAUGAGGGACAAUUCUUUGUUAGAAGAAAGUACUGGAGUAUUAUGCUGCUUUUGUAUUAAAUCUGUAAGUUUAGAAUGAAGGCAAGCCCUCGUCCAAAUAGACAUAACUAGUUUUUCGUUAUGUUUCUAUUUUGCUGGUAAAACUAGUUAUUUUCAAUAGUUACAGAUUGUGAAAUACAGUAACAAUGCAAAAAAUACAAAAAUGUACGGCAUUUAUAAACACAUAUACCAUUGCAAAGGAUUUAUAUGGUUUGAAGUCUGUGUCAUAUUGCAUCUUCUUAAAAUGGAUGUAAAGAGAAAAAGCUCCCAAAUAAAAUGGCACCUUUUUUCUAUCUUGCUUUAAGGCAGGAAUGAAUGGGAUCCUGUUCGCAGGGUGAAUUCAAAAAUCCCUCACCCACAUGGGUCAGCUUUGACAGAUGGUCAGGACCACCCACUUGUUAAUCACCAGAGAUCAGGUUAGUGACACUUGUCAAAGUUCAAAGGAGGUAACUGUAACUGCUGAGCCGCUAACUGGAGGUUACAACAACCUCCUUUGAAGAUGCACUUUCAGCAUUAGUCAGCUGACUGGAGGCAUUCGUCUUUAAGAGGCUUGUUGUAACUGAUCUGUGGCUACAGAGAACCCCUUGGAAGCAUCUGCAGAAGGGGAAAUGCUUCAUUUUUCAUGGGAUGCUGUACUUUGAAUCCAAACUGCUUCAUCUGGAGAGGAAAAAUGCUCUAUUUAAAAUUUUUUAAAAUUGACAUUCAGAAUGAGGCACUUUUUGUUUUUACAGUAACUUUUUAUUGCUUCUUCAUCCCAGAAUCCUAGAAGUAACCUAAUACCUACAAGCACCUAGAAGACUAAAUUCAGUCUACAAUCUCCAUCUAUAGACUAGGACUUGUUCUACAAAUGGAGAAAGUGGGAGACAUGUCCUCUUGCCUUAUCCUGUUUCCCUUCCUCAAUGGCCAUAGGGAAUCCCUGUGCCAUUGAAGGAAGGCAGGAGUCAUUGAGAGAAAGGGCUUGCCCAAUUUCUGUCACUCUGAGUUCCAGGAAAGCCUUUAACAACUCCUGGGAAGCUCGCCAUUGCUCUCCUGCUGCUAGGGGGAACAAGGCCAGAGAGCUGCACUCCCCAAAACCCUGUCAUGUUCUUGAUGGAGAACUGUUGAUGGAGAGACUUCAUUUCCAAAGCACAAAAAUAACACAUCAUCAUCAUCAAACCUUUUAUUGGCAUCACAUACAACAUCCAAACAAAUCAAUACAGAAUUACCACUUCCCCAGUGGCACAAAACAUUUGCUAAAAGAAAGGAGGCAGAGCAGUCUAUCAUCACAGCAGAGCAGUCUGUCGUCACAAAAAAUAACACAACCACAAGUAUAUUAAACCACAAGUGUAAUACAACUUCUUAAAUUGUAUGUUAUUUAUGUAUUUUCUUUAUGUAUGUAUUUAUUUUUAAAUAUUUGUACAUGGAGUUUUUUAU